AGAGUUUGAUCAUGGCUCAGGACGAACGCUUGCGGCGUGCCUAAGAAAUGCAAGUCGAGCGGGAACAGGACUUCGGUUCUGCUCCAGCGGCGAACGGUCGCGUAACACGUAAGCAACCUGCCCCAGAGACCGGGAUAACCGCGCGAAAGCGCAGCUAAUACCGGAUGUGUCCCCCUGAAGACCUCUUCGGGGGAGUAAAUCACUUAGAUUGGCUCUGGGAGGGGCUUGCGGCCUAUCAGCUAGAUGGUGAGGUAAGGGCUCACCAUGGCGACGACGGGUAGCUGGUCUGAGAGGAUGGUCAGCCGGACUGGGACUGAGAGACGGCCCAGACUCCUACGGGGGGCAGCAAUUAGGAAUCUUGUGCAAUGGGGGCAACCCUGACACAGCGACGCCGCGUGGGGGAGGAAGGCCUUCGGGUUGUAAACCCCUUUUGUCGAGGAAGAAGCAAGUGACGGUACUCGACGAAUAAGCCCCGGCUAACUCCGUGCCAGCAGCCGCGGUAAUACGGAGGGGGCGAGCGUUGUCCGAAGUUACUGGGCGUAAAGGGCGCGUAGGCGGGAGGCCAAGUCCGCUGUGAAAGCCUGAGGCUCAACCUCAGCGGGUCGGUGGAGACUGGUCUUCUUGAAGGUGUCAGGGGGAGAUGGAAUUAUCGGUGUAGCGGUGAAAUGCGUAGAUAUCGAUAGGAACACCAGUGGCGAAGGCGGUCUCCUGGGGCAUUCUUGACGCUGAGGCGCGAAAGCUGGGGGAGCGAACGGGAUUAGAUACCCCGGUAGUCCCAGCCCUAAACGAUGGAUACUAGGUGUGGGGGGUAUCGACCCCUCCCGUGCCGUCGCUAACGCAGUAGUAUCCCGCCUGGGGAGUACGGCCGCAAGGUUGAAACUCAAAGGGAUUGACGGGGCCCCGCACAAGCGGUGGAGCAUGUUGUUUAAUACGUCACUAACCGUAGACCCUUACCAGGAUUUGAAAUCCUGCGAAACUUCCAUGAAAGUGGA
rnacentral:rRNA from 1 species